rnacentral:rRNA from 1 species
GUGUCAGCAGCCGCGGUAACACGUAGGCACCAAGCGUUGUCCGGAUUUAUUGGGCGUAAAGAGCUCGUAGGCGGUUCGGUAAGUCGGGUGUGAAAUCUCUGGGCUCAACCCAGAGGGGCCACCCGAUACUGCUGUGACUAGAGUGCGGUAGGGGAGUGGGGAAUUCCUGGUGUAGCGGUGAAAUGCGCAGAUAUCAGGAGGAACACCAGUGGCGAAGGCGCCACUCUGGGCCGUAACUGACGCUGAGGAGCGAAAGCGUGGGUAGCAAACAGGAUUAGAUACCCUCGUAGUCC